rnacentral:rRNA from 1 species
GAAACUAACCAGGAUUCCCCCAGUAACGGCGAGUGAACGGGGAUUAGCCCAGCAUCGAAGCCUAUGCCUAUUUUGGUGUAAGGCCAUGUGAUGUUUUGGGGUAUGCCUAGGGUCGCCUGCCAACUCGAAGUCCAAUAUUGAAUGUGGCUUAUGUAUUUGGCCCAGAGCGGGUGAAAGGCCCGUGCGGGUUGGCUGUUAGUCAUGUUAGGCGACCUCUAGAUGCAUGCUCUGUGGAGUCGGAUUGCUUGAGAAUGCAGUCCAAAGUUGGUGGUAAACUCCAUCAAAGGCUAAAUACUGGCACGAGUCCGAUAGCAAACAAGUACCGUGAGGGAAAGUUGAAAAGUACUCUGAAGAGAGAGUAAAUAGUACGUGAAACCACUUACAGGUAAACUGGUGGAGUCCAGCUGCGUGUUCUGGGGACUUAGCUGGUGUGCAAAAGCUAUGUGCGGCUUGCUGUUAACGGCAAGUAGGCUUACGCCUAUUCAUGUUUGCCAUGUAGGUGAUAUGAGUCGUGCAAUGUGUAUGCACGCCAGUGUCUUUCCUCAGGACUGGCAUCACAGUCGAUACAGCUGCUAGUGUGUGAUGGUCAAACCGCGGAGCGAUGGGCCUUGAAGCUCAUCUUCCGUGUGGAUGGCAGGUGGUUUGGUUGUCCGUCUUGUGCGGUCAAUUGGACUUAAACAUGGUUCCGACCAGCCGACUAUCAUGCAGAUUUGCAUUCAACUAUGCAGUAUAUCGGUGAAGAGUUUCUCUGCCCAGCGGCUUUUGCGUCCUGCUGGCUCACAGGCGGUUACGUGUAAAAGCGUGCCGGAUGUGUGGCUCGGCACGGAUGUAGAGGUUGUGCGGUGGUGUUCUCACAUAAACUGUGAUGUUGUGGUA